rnacentral:piRNA from 1 species
GCUGCAAAUGCCUCGACUGCUACACUGG